UCCCUGGUGGUCCAGUGGUCAGGACUUGGAGCUUUCACCACUGUGGCCCAGGUUCAAGCCCUGGUCUGGGAA